CCCCAACAGCAGGGGCUCCUCUUUUCCUCCCCCACCCAUCAGCAAACCCUCAAGCCUUGCUGCGCCUUCUCCUGCCUUGCCUCAGCACAGCUACAAUGGAAAUGAAUGACUCAAUUGUCCCUGAUGGAGUGAAAGACAAGGAACCCCUUUAAAUCCUCCAAAAGGGAUGAACUCUUUCUGUCCCUCUAUUGCCUGGAGACUUCCGGGAGAAAGAGAGAGCGAGAGGGAGUCAGAAAGACAGAGAGAUUGAAAACACCAAAGACCACGAGUUGCUUUAUCAGGUCUUCUGGCAAAAUCUUUUCACCUAAACUGGAUCUGGAGUUGAAUUUUGCAACCUGACCUUUGCAGAAACCUGUUAUUUUUCAUAGAAAAUCAUUCCAAACCAGAAAUCCAGUUUUUAAUGUUAGGCCUACAGCUAAAGUCAUCUGGAUUAUGGAAGCAUUUGCAACAGUGCUGAGGAACAGGCAGGCAUGGAUACAUACAGACUCGCACUUAAUACACUUGCUCUCUCAAGAGGAAACAAUUUUUGGGGAAAGGACAUAAUAAUGAUCCAGACAGGCUCUUUGAAAUUCACUGAUCCAAAGAGAAGGGAUCUGCCCAUCUGUGAGACUCCCAUCUCUAGAGAGGCCUUUUCGGCGGUUAAGGCUACAGUAGAUGUGCUGUGCGCAGCUCAGACUGCCAUCCAUCACUCGUGAACCUCUUUGACGGCUGAACCUCUGACCUCCUCUUCCGAGGAUCCUCCUUUUGCUGCUACAGGAACACUUUUAAAGUCACAUCGUGCCCAGACUGAUUUCAUCAGGCUUUGCAUGUACCUGGACAGAGAUUAGUGCAUAAGAGGUUAAUGGUAUAUUUCCCUGGAAAUGCCCAAAUCAUUUAGAUUUUUAUGUUGUUAGUAAUAUAUUUUAGACUAUGCUUUUGCAGGUGAUUCUGAGAACGCAUAUCAGAAAAUGUGGGGGAAGAUUGAUGCCAUUAUAAAGUACGAAAAACAGACAUUUUUUAAUAUAUUUUUUUUAACAAGUGCUAAGUAUUAGAAGAUGCUAAACAUUUUGAUUGUUAAGUAUAGUACUGAAAACCAAAGUAAAUGUUGAAUUAAAUAUAUUACACAAACUUUUUUCAUUCAUAUAAACUACACCAUUAUGCCAAAAGUGGUCUCUUAUGCUCACCAAGUCUGUAAAACCUAUAAUAUUGUAAAAUAUUAUUACAAUUUAAAUAAUGGUUCCCUAUUUUUAAAUGUAAUUUAUUUCUGUGACAAUAAAGCUGAAUUUUCAUCCGUUACUCCAGUGUUAAGUGUCAUAUGAUCCUUCAGAAAUCAUUGUAAAAUGCUUAUUUGGUCCUCUUUCCAUUAAA